AGUUUGAUCAUGGCUCAGGACGAACGCUGGCGGCGUGCUUAACACAUGCAAGUCGAACGGAUCAGGUUGAGCUUGCUUGACUUGGUUAGUGGCGAACGGGUGAGUAACACGUGAGUAACCUGCCCCAGACUCUGGGAUAACUUCGGGAAACCGUGGCUAAUACCGGAUAUGACAUCACCUCGCAUGGGGAUGGUGUGGAAAGUUUUUCGGUCUGGGAUGGACUCGCGGCCAAUCAGCUUGUUGGUGAGGUAGUGGCUCACCAAGGCGACGACGGGUAGCCGGCCUGAGAGGGCGACCGGCCACACUGGGAUUGAGACACGGCCCAGACUCCUACGGGAGGCAGCAGUGGGGAAUAUUGCACAAUGGGCGGAAGCCUGAUGCAGCGACGCCGCGUGAGGGAUGAAGGCCUUCGGGUUGUAAACCUCUUUCAGCAGGGAAGAAGCGAAAGUGACGGUACCUGCAGAAGAAGCACCGGCUAACUACGUGCCAGCAGCCGCGGUAAUACGUAGGGUGCGAGCGUUGUCCGGAAUUAUUGGGCGUAAAGAGCUUGUAGGCGGUUUGUCGCGUCUGCUGUGAAAAUCCGGGGCUCAACCCCGGACUUGCAGUGGGUACGGGCAGACUAGAGUGUGGUAGGGGAGACUGGAAUUCCUGGUGUAGCGGUGGAAUGCGCAGAUAUCAGGAGGAACACCGAUGGCGAAGGCAGGUCUCUGGGCCAUUACUGACGCUGAGGAGCGAAAGCAUGGGGAGCGAACAGGAUUAGAUACCCUGGUAG
rnacentral:rRNA from 1 species